rnacentral:lncRNA from 1 species
UCUGUCACUGUAUCUUUCUCUUACCUUUUUUCUUACCUCGAUUACAUCGGAGUUGCUGGAAACCACCAUCAUCCCCGUCGCCAUCCUCACCUCAGCGAAUUCUCAUCAUCGGCGGUUGCGACGAGUCCGGGAUAUUACACUCCUCACCUUCACCCAACUCCAUCAACUUAAAUUUCUUUUUAUUUUCUUCAAUUAAUUAAUCUCAAUGGCUGCAGCAGUUAGGUACUAUCUCUUCUUCUUUACCAAAAAUUGUUUUUAUUUAAUAUUUUUUUGAGGGUUCGAUGACGUUGAUUCUUUUCUUUCUAAAUCAAUAUGAUUUUGAUUUUAUAUUAUAUGAAAAAUGUGUAAUGUUUUUAUUUAAAUUUGUAUUGUAUAGCUCUGCGAAGGAGGUUCUUCCUCCUCCUCUAACCUCUGAAUCAGAACCACCUAAUCUCUUUGAUGGAACCACCAGGUAAUUUGUUAUCCUCUAGUUAAAGCCUAUUAUUGUAAGGCUAAUUUUUUCUUUUUUAACUUAAUUGGUUAUGCUAUGAAGGUUGUACAUAUCUUAUACAUGCCCAUAUGCGCAGCGCACCUGGAUUGCGAGGAACUAUAAGGUGAUUACUUGGUCUCUCAGAUCAUCUUAAUUUGAAUGUUCUAGCACUUCUUACAUUUUCUGUAUCUAGAAUUAAUCUCGAGCUCUUAAUUAUGUUGCUGAAGCAGGGACUGCAGGAGAAGAUAAAGUUAGUUCCAAUUGAUCUGCAAAAUAGGCCAGCAUGGUACAAGGAGAAAGUUUACUCUACUAACAAGGUUUGAUGCAUUUUUCUUCUUCUUCUUCUUUUUUUUUCGUUAUGUUAUUUCCUUGACGAAUUACGGACGUUAAAUUAACAUUCUCUUAAUUGUCGAAGAAAAAUAAUUCACAAAAGAACCUCAUGAUCAACCCACAAGGUCNUUUUAUCUUUUCGGAAGCUUUUUCGUUAACAUUUCGUUAAAUUAUAUACAAAAAACUUCAGAUAACCAUCUAUAUUUAUCGAAUAUUCACUUUAGUAUCUUUUAAUUUUAACUUUGUCACUGAUUUAAGAAAAAAAAAUAAUAAAAUUGAUAACAAAAAGAGAAAAACGAAACCACAGGGGGGCAAAUUGAUACGUUUUAAACCACAGGGGGGUUUUUGAAGUUUUCCCUUAAUUUUGUCGUCACCACUGACGCAUCCACGCCCAAAUCCACUGCUCUUCCAGUCUCUUCCAUACGAUCCGACCCACAGCCCUCCCUAUAUAUAUAUCGCACUGCUCACCCCUUCACCUUCACCCAACUCCAUCAACUUAAAUUUCUUUUUAUUUUCUUCAAUUAAUUAAUCUCAAUGGCUGCAGCAGUUAGGUAC